UGUUUCAAAACAGUUGAGUGAACAGUUGGCCAGUGUACGGUCAGUACAGCAUCUUUCUCUGUGUGACGAGAGGUCUUGGUGAUCUUAAGUGUUAGGAAUUGUUUUCAGUAUUUUUAUUUCUGUACCUGGAACGGCCCGCUAUUACUGCUGCUAUAGAGUAUUACUCUGCUGUUUUAACUGCUGAAUAUAAUUCUGCUGCAAUUACUCUGCUGUUUUAACUGCUA